rnacentral:lncRNA from 1 species
GAGCUAAAUAUAAAAGUAUUUGAGAGUCUCUGUUAUGAUAAAACUUCUGCAAGCAGUUUUAGUACUGCAUAUAAUAAAAAAAAUUCAUCAGCAUUUGAUUAUUGUCAUAAAGACAAGGAACUCUUAAACAAUAAAGAGAUGGAAUCUAAAGAAACGAUAAGUUCACCAUUUUCACAGCCAAAGCUAAACUCCCCUAAGAAAAUGAAAAUACAAUUCAAAUCACAUUUGUAUUGAACCUAACACAGUGAAUUCAUAAAGAAAAAAUUAAACUCAUGAUGCACUUAAAUUGCAGCCGCUAUCCCCAUGGCACAUCAUGUGCAACAUUGCUAAUUUGGUAGAGCCUCAAUUUCAUUUCAAUCAGGUAGUUACAAAAACUUAAAAAUCUUAUAAUAUAUGAAUAAAAAAUGAAAAAUAUUAACAAGAAGCAAAUAAUCGAAUUGAAUAUACAACAAAAAAACGAGACAAUUACUGAACAUAACGAUUACAAAGAAUACAAGGCAUACUUGAUCUUGGAAAUGGAAUGUGUGGAAUGGAUCAAGCGCGAAAGCAAUGUCUUCAUUUUACGAUAAUUAAAAAUAUAGUUGACGCCUCAGCUCCUGGUACCAGUACAUGUCCCUCAUCACCUUCCUCAUCUACGAAGGCUUCUCUCUUCCCACCAUCGAGCAAAUCAGAAGCAUCUUUAGCGUGGAACAUAAUCGUCUUAUCGCUGUCAUGCAGGUCCACAACU